AAACCAUAUUGAGGACAUUUAUUCAUGAGCUCCUUGAAUCAAUCCCAUUUCUCCAAAAGAGACUCCAAUUCCUCUUGCACAUAAUAAGAUAUCUCAUUCCUAAGCUU